CAGCAGCCGCGGGAAUUCGAAGGGGGCUAGCGUUGCUCGGAAUGACUGGGCGUAAAGGGCGCGUAGGCGGCGAUCAAAGUCAGGCGUGAAAUUCCUGGGCUCAACCUGGGGGCUGCGUUUGAUACUUGGUUGCUAGAGUGAGGAAGAGGGUCGUGGAAUUCCCAGUGUAGAGGUGAAAUUCGUAGAUAUUGGGAAGAACACCGGUGGCGAAGGCGGCGACCUGGUCCUUGACUGACGCUGAGGCGCGAAAGCGUGGGGAGCAAACAGGAUUAGAUACCCCUGUAGUCCCUGUCUCUUAUAC
rnacentral:rRNA from 1 species